GCUGGGCAUGGUGGCGCAUGCCUAUAAUCCCAGCUACUCAGGAGGCUGAGGUGGGAGAAUCGCUUGAACCUGGGAGGCAGAGGUUGCAGUGAGCUGAGAUCACACCACUGCACUCUAGCCUGGGCAACAGAGUGAGAUUCCAUCUCAA
rnacentral:SRP_RNA from 1 species